rnacentral:misc_RNA from 1 species
AAAAUGCGAUACUUGGUGUGAAUUGCAGAAUCCCGUGAACCAUCGAGUUUUUGAACGCAAGUUGCGCCCGAAGCCAUUCGGCCGAGGGCACGUCUGCCUGGGCGUCACGCAUCACCAUGCUCCCCUUGUUGGGACGUGUUUGGUCUGGGACGGAGACUGGUCUCCCGUGCCGAUGGCGCGGUUGGCCUAAAAAAGAGUCCCCUUGGCGGACGCACGGCUAGUGGUGGUUGUCAAGGCCUUCGUAUCGAGCCGUGUUGAUGCUAGGGAAUUGCUCUCUAAAAGACCCUAAUGUGUUGUCUUACGACGAUGCUUCGACCGCGACCCCAGGUCAGGCGGGACUACCCGCUGAGUUUAA